rnacentral:rRNA from 1 species
UUUAUUUACUAUAACGAGUCGAACCUGCCCAGUGAUUUUAUUUAACGGCCGCAGUACUCUGACUGUGCAAAGGUAGCAUAAUCAUUUGCCUUAUAAUUAAAGGCUAGUAUGAAUGGUUUGACAAGAAUGACGCUGUCUCUUUCGAAUUUUAUAGAAUUUGGUUUUUAGGUGAAGAAACCUAAAUAAAAUUAAAAGACAAGAAGACCCUAUCGAGCUUAAAAUAAUUUUCUUUGUUAUUAGUUAAUACCAGCUUCGUAGAAAAAUUUUGGUUGGGGCGACUAAGGAACAUAAAAAGCUUCCUAUAAAAUAUACCUACGUUUACGUUUUGAUCCAAAACAUUUGAUUAACAGAAUUAGUUACCGUAGGGAUAACAGCAUAAUCUUUUUUGAGAGUUCUUAUCGAAAAAAAGGUUUGUGACCUCGAUGUUGGACUAGGGUACCCAGACAGGUGCAGAAGCCUUCGAUGGUUGGUCUGUUCGACCA